CAGUAGCCGCGGGAAUACGUAGGGUCCGAGCGUUGUCCGGAAUUAUUGGGCGUAAAGGGCUCGUAGGCGGUUUGUCGCGUCGGGAGUGAAAACCAGCAGCUUAACUGCUGGCCUGCUUUCGAUACGGGCAGACUUGAGGCAUUCAGGGGAGAGCGGAAUUCCUGGUGUAGCGGUGAAAUGCGCAGAUAUCAGGAGGAACACCGGUGGCGAAGGCGGUUCUCUGGGAAUGUUCUGACGUUGAGGAGCGAAAGUGUGGGGAGCGAACAGGAUUAGAUACCCCAGUAGUCCCUGUCUCUUAUAC
rnacentral:rRNA from 1 species